rnacentral:rRNA from 1 species
GAUGAACGCUAGCGGGAGGCCUAACACAUGCAAGCCGAGCGGUAUAGUUUCUUCGGAAACUAGAGAGCGGCGUACGGGUGCGUAACACGUGUGCAACCUACCUUUAUCUGGGGGAUAGCCUUUCGAAAGGAAGAUUAAUACCCCAUAAUAUAAUUAUUGGCAUCAAUAAUUAUUGAAAACUCCGGUGGAUAGAGAUGGGCACGCGUAAGAUUAGAUAGUUGGUGAGGUAACGGCUCACCAAGUCAAUGAUCUUUAGGGGGCCUGAGAGGGUGAUCCCCCACACUGGUACUGAGACACGGACCAGACUCCUACGGGAGGCAGCAGUGAGGAAUAUUGGACAAUGGGUGAAAGCCUGAUCCAGCCAUCCCGCGUGAAGGACGACGGCCCUAUGGGUUGUAAACUUCUUUUGUGUAGGAAUAAGCCUAGAUACGUGUAUCUAGCUGAAGGUACUAUACGAAUAAGCACCGGCUAACUCCGUGCCAGCAGCCGCGGUAAUACGGAGGGUGCAAGCGUUAUCCGGAUUUAUUGGGUUUAAAGGGUCCGUAGGCGGACCUGUAAGUCAGUGGUGAAAUCUCAUAGCUUAACUAUGAAACUGCCAUUGAUACUGCAGGUCUUGAGUGAAUUUGAGGUAGCUGGAAUAAGUAGUGUAGCGGUGAAAUGCAUAGAUAUUACUUAGAACACCAAUUGCGAAGGCAGGUUACCAAGAUUCAACUGACGCUGAGGGACGAAAGCGUGGGGAGCGAACAGGAUUAGAUACCCUGGUAGUCCACGCUGUAAACGAUGCUAACUCGUUUUUGGGCUUUUGGGCUCAGAGACCAAGCGAAAGUGAUAAGUUAGCCACCUGGGGAGUACGUUCGCAAGAAUGAAACUCAAAGGAAUUGACGGGGGCCCGCACAAGCGGUGGAUUAUGUGGUUUAAUUCGAUGAUACGCGAGGAACCUUACCAAGGCUUAAAUGGGAAAUGACCGGUUUAGAAAUAGACCUUUCGCAAGACAUUUUUCAAGGUGCUGCAUGGUUGUCGUCAGCUCGUGCCGUGAGGUGUUAGGUUAAGUCCUGCAACGAGCGCAACCCCUGUCACUAGUUGCUACCAUUAAGUUGAGGACUCUAGUGAGACUGCCUACGCAAGUAGAGAGGAAGGUGGGGACGACGUCAAAUCAUCACGGCCCUUACGCCUUGGGCCACACACGUAAUACAAUGGCCGGUACAGAGGGCAGCUACACAGCGAUGUGAUGCAAAUCUCGAAAGCCGGUCUCAGUUCGGAUUGGAGUCUGCAACUCGACUCUAUGAAGCUGGAAUCGCUAGUAAUCGCGCAUCAGCCAUGGCGCGGUGAAUACGUUCCCGGGCCUUGUACACACCGCCCGUCAAGCCAUGGAAGUCUGGGGUACCUGAAGUCGGUGACCGUAAAAGGAGCUGCCUAGGGUAAAACAGGUAACUAGGGCU